rnacentral:rRNA from 1 species
UACCACUUGUUGCCUCGGCGGAUCAGCCCGCUCCCGGUAAAACGGGACGGCCCGCCAGAGGACCCCUAAACUCUGUUUCUAUAUGUAACUUCUGAGUAAAACCAUAAAUAAAUCAAAACUUUCAACAACGGAUCUCUUGGUUCUGGCAUCGAUGAAGAACGCAGCAAAAUGCGAUAAGUAAUGUGAAUUGCAGAAUUCAGUGAAUCAUCGAAUCUUUGAACGCACAUUGCGCCCGCCAGUAUUCUGGCGGGCAUGCCUGUUCGAGCGUCAUUUCAACCCUCAAGCACAGCUUGGUGUUGGGACUCGCGUUAAUUCGCGUUCCUCAAAUUGAUUGGCGGUCACGUCGAGCUUCCAUAGCGUAGUAGUAAAACCCUCGUUACUGGUAAUCGUCGCGGCCACGCCGUUAAACCCCAACUUCUGAAUGUUGACCUCGGAUCAGGUAGGAAUACCCGCUGAACUUAAGCAUAUCAUAGUUGGGA